AGAUUGAACGCUGGCGGCAGGCCUAACACAUGCAAGUCGAGCGGUAGAGAGGUGCUUGCACCUCUUGAGAGCGGCGGACGGGUGAGUAAUGCCUAGGAAUCUGCCUAGUGGUGGGGGAUAACGUUCGGAAACGGACGCUAAUACCGUAUGUGCCCUUCGGGGGAAAGAUUUAUUGCCAUUGGAGCAGCCCGCGUUGGAUUAGCUAGUUGGUGGGUAAAGGCCCACCAAGGCGACGAUCCAUAGCUGGUCUGAGAGGAUGAUCAGCCACACUGGGACUGGAGACCACGGCCCAGACUCCGUACGGGAGCAGCAGAGGGAAUCUGCGCAAUGGGCGAAAGCCUGGACGCAGCCAUCGCGCGUGAAUGAUGAAGGUUCUUAGGAUUUAGUAAAAUUCGUUACGACCGGGAAG
rnacentral:rRNA from 1 species